rnacentral:rRNA from 1 species
GUUGACCUCGGAUCAGGUAGGGUA